rnacentral:rRNA from 1 species
AGUGAACGCUGGCGGCAGGCUUAACACAUGCAAGUCGAACGGCAGCACAGUGCGAGGUUGUGCUGAGGGGUGGCCGGUGGAGUAAGGGAGAGGAAUAUAUCGGGAUCUGGGGUUUAGUGGGGCAUAAGGUAGGGAAAUUUACGAUAAUAUCGAGUACGGACUACGGGGGAAAGCAGGGGAUCUUGGGACCUUGCGCGACUGAAUGAGCCGAUGUAGGGUUUGCUAGUUGGUGGGGUAAAGGCCCACCAAGGCGACGAUCCGGAGCUGGUCUGAGAGGAUGACCAGCCACACUGGGACUGAGACACGGUCCAGACUCCUACGGGAGGCAGCAGUGGGGAAUAUUGGACAAUGGGCGCAAGCCUGAUCCAGCAAGACCGCGUGGGGGAAGAAGGCCUUCGGGUUGUAAACCCCUUUUGUUGGGAAAGAAACGCAUCUGGUUAAUACCCCGCUGUUCUGACGGUACCCAAAGAAUAAGCGCCGGCUAACUUCG